CAGCAGCCGCGGGAAAACGAAGGGGGCUAGCGUUGCUCGGAAUGACUGGGCGUAAAGGGCGCGUAGGCGGUUUGGCAAGUCUCGUGUGAAAUCUAUGGGCUCAACCCAUAGCCUGCACGAGAAACUACCGGGCUUGAGUAUUGGAGAGGUGAGUGGAAUUUCCGGUGUAGCGGUGAAAUGCGUAGAUAUCGGAAGGAACACCUGUGGCGAAAGCGGCUCACCGGACAAUAACUGACGCUGAUGCACGAAAGCUAGGGGAGCAAACAGGAUUAGAUACCCGGGUAGUCCCUGUCUCUUAUAA
rnacentral:rRNA from 1 species